ensembl:lncRNA
GGAUACAUUGUCGUAGUGGACAGUAGAGACGCUUCUCUCUCUCCUCUCUCUCUUUCUGCAGCAAAAGGGGGAUUGCAAAUUGACUCGGGUGUGUUUAUGUAAACCAUAAAAAAAAGUAUCAGAAUGCUCUGGUGUCGGGAACAUCAGCAAAUGCAUCCAUCCGUCCGAGUGGAAGUGUCUGAGGACAAAUCCACAGUGGAUUUCAUGUGAAAGAGAGUGGAUGGGUGAUAGAACAAAAUGAGAAGCCCAACCCUCCAUAGAUCUCAUUAGGCCGGUCAUAACACUGCAACAACAGUGGAACGCGUACUCAUCUGACUCCUGUUCCCCCGCACACACCCAAAGCCUUAGCUUCAGCUCUUUUGCGCCAUCACACGCUCCGGGUUAAAGCCACAGAUGCUACUUGGCCGACUGCGGUUGUUUGCUGACACGUUUGCCAACUGAGUGUUUCACAAUGGGUCGCCAUCAUUAGUCUGUUUUACUGUGACACGUAUUACAUGCUGUCUGUUUGUUGUGUGGACAUUCAUGCAGAAUGGAUGAGCAAAGUAUGCAGGGUUUCCAGGGUGUUGAAUAAUUGCAUGGCUGUUCCGGACUCAAGGAAGGAUGGAAUGGACGGUAAUCUUACUGUUUUUUUACCAAAUAAUAUGUAAACUAUUUUAUUUAUUUUUUUGAAUAAAAAGUUAAUCAGAAAAUUGUCAAAUAUAGGGGGGGGAAACUUCACCAGAGCUUCACAACAAAUAUCAGGCCUCCUUUCUAAACUGAGUCACUGUAUUCUGCGAAUUGUAUCAAACGCAAUAAAACCGAAAAAAAAGAAGAUAAAGUUGUGCUUCUGUUUCCCGGCACUGAAACCACUCCGCUGUGUAUUCUACAUAUUAAUGAACCUUUCUAUCACACUAAAACAGAUUAUCGCAGCACUGCAUUUAUUACAAACACGAGGGUAAAGGCAGCGUAAUAAUGGCAAUGGAGUAAUUAUGAGCUGUGAAUUGAAAUAUAGAUUCACAUCAUCACUAUGUGAAAUCGUCAACAACAAUAUAGGCCGUCUGUGGGGAACAGAUAUGGGUUCUUUCUCAAUUACUUUUUACUGUAACUUCAUGUGGAAAUGAAUAAAGCGGGGAAGUGUUUCUUUAAUCCUUUCUUUCACUAUGCCUAACGUGUAAAACCCUGACAUCACAAACAUACCAUUGGCUUAUGGUGAUAGGGGAGAAAAGAAACCUGCAAGAUAAAGAUCUUCAGCUCUGUGCUAAUGACUGUGACUGAAAUGUGUAACACUAACUUAGCCAUGAACAUCAGCUGGAAGGAUCACGUAGCAAACAUUGCAUGCAGAAAGGAUCUAAAUUGAUCGAAACAAAGAAAGAGAAACAUUGGCUUCUCCCAUCGAACACCUUUUCUUGUUUCGCAUUCAAAAAUACCCCAUUGAACCUUGAACGUUAGGGCCUUCAGCCCAAUGGCCCACGCUGACUCCACCUCUGAUCCUAGUCGGGGCCCUGUUGUGUAUCUCUGACAAUAGCCCUAAGGUGAAGAGAAAGCAGAACCAGGCUGCAAGCAGUACCUAAGUGAUGGCCGCUGGCCUUGAGCUGGCCUGGAUAAAUACACACAGCCUUGAGUCUUGGCAUUGUAAUCUGGAGGCCACUUGACCUUUGUUUCCUCUCCUGCCUUAUAAGUACAGCAUGGAUCUGAAAAGGUCAUGAGAGAAAAGGCUCUCGCAGCAGGGUGUACAUUCUUAUUCUUUUCAUGGGUUUAAAGCAACGAUAGUGUGGAAUUUGUUCCAAAGAAUGUUUUACAUCUCAGAAUUGCUCAAACCUCACAAUUAUUCAGUCACUUUUCUAUUGGUACGGAGACGGAGUGCGUUUUGCGUGUUUGCAGACACAAUUGCUCACUGUUGACAUUCAUCUACUGGAGACUAAUGGUUCCUUACAGUAACUUCUGUUUCUGAACUAUUAACUCAAGCAGUUAAUCCAUUUAAUUAGAACUAUUGGAUAGAGUAACCAUGGAUAGAGUAACCAUGACUUCUAGUAAACAACCUACAGUGGGUGGUCCUGUAGCCUACAAGGUCGUGCCCCUGCACACCUAAACAUCCUUUUUCAUUACAUUUCAAGGGUAUUUUCUCGAUUAUAGCCAAUCUCUUAUACAAGAAGUAAACAUAGCAAAGCAAAACUCCAAUAAAACUACUUGUCACGGUGUGGUUUUAUUUCCUGUCUUAUUUUGUAGUUUUCUGCUUCUUGUCUCCCAGGGUAACUUCACUUCCUGCCUUGUCCUCCCCUGUGAUUGUCUGAUUGUUUCCACCUGUGUCCAAUCACCAACACCUCCCUAGUGUAUUUCAGCAGUUUGUGUCUCUUGUUACUUGUCGCGUCAUUGUCGAAUGUCCUGGAUGUUCCUAGUUCCUGCCUGGCUUUUUCAACCUGGGUCCUGUGUGCGUUUUUGCCCCUUGGCCUUUUGCUUUUGACCGUUUGACUAUUAAAGUAUUUUUUGCUUUUGAAAGUCAGCAUUUUGAGUCCUGCCUUCCCCGCAUCCCUGACAGAAUGACGCGACCACAAAGGGAUUCAGCAGACCCGCUGCCAGACUACGGACCUGACUACAUGGAUGUUAGGAGCCCGUUCUGCCAGCGGAAGACACACUUUGUAUUCGGUCCCAAGAGCUACCAGACAGCUUGUCUCGAGCUCCGAGACCUCCUAAACCCCAGGAGGAGGAGCCCUGGCAAGCGGAAGCAGCGAUCCCCCGUUCCCGUUGGGCUGCAGCGAUCCCCCGUUCCCGUUGGGCCGCAGCGAUCCCCCGUUUCCCGUUGGGCCGCAGCGAUCCCCCGUUUCCCGCUGGGCCGCAGCGAUCCCCCCCGUUGCCGUUCCCCGACUCGCUCCUCCAACCCCGGUACCGGCCCCACAACUCCAGGCCCCGACCCCUCCGGUACCGGCCCAGAGACUCAUGACCCCGCCAGUACCGGCCCCGAGACUCCUGACCCCCACCCGGGCGGUACCGGCCCCGAGACUCAUGACCCGACGCCUCCAGUCCCCGCUCCCCAACUCAGGCUCCCGCCCUCCCAUCCCGUGGUCCUCUCCCACCCUCCCGUUAGUGAUUUGAGGGCCGUCUGGGAUCCGGUCCUUGAGUGGAGGGGUUACGGGGGGGCUGAGCUGGCGACUCCGGAGGUGUUCGGUGUCCCCGAGCCGCCCGCGACUACUCCGGAGGUUUCCCGUGUCCCCUGACCAGCCAAUCCAGAGACGUUCAGUGCCCUGCUGUCGGCGAUCCAGAGCCAGACGGCUGACCGUCCGCCAGGCCGACCCCCGGAGCCCUCCCGGCCGUCUGACCGUCCGCGUCCGUUCGACUAUUAAAGUCUUUUUGCUUUUGAAAGUCUGCAUUUUGAGUCCUGCCUUCCAAACAAAAUGAUCAGUUUGUCAUGGAAUAACAUUUUUACGGUUUUGGUUAGACAUGGGACGGUCUCUGUGUGAAAGUCCUGUGAUUGUUUGUUCAAAGCAACCCAUAUUCCUCACAUUAUUUUUUGAAGAAAAUUUGAAAGAAAGGGAAGUUUGACAGUCCAAACACAACUGUGAUCUCCCUUCCAGCCGAGACGUUUUUUAGCUCUGUUACACCAAGGAGAAAAGCAAGGUGACAACUGACGCAACGGCAGUAAUCUAACCCAAUGUUUGAUAAUGCUGUCAGAUUAGCAUAGCACGUCAUCCAAUAACACCUUCCAUGCACCAGCUGACCUAGCAGUGCUUGAAUUUCAUAUGCCAUUUGCUGCCAGGCUUGUUUUCGGCUCAUUGUUUGGCAAAGCUUAAGACUCACUUGGUUACUGCGAAUAACAUGGGAGCUUUAUGUGGAUUAUGCAAAAGCUUCAUGGCUCAGAUUGGUUUUCAGUAUCGAGAAUCCAGUCACACGACGUCGACCACUGUCCUUUUCCCCGGGCCUCUGUGAAUGUCAAAUGCUGGCACGCUUGGCAUAAAGUUUGGGAGCAAGGCAGCAAAUAAAAACUAGCCAUGAACGUGAAUACCUUCAGGAGCAGUGACAGAAAUGGGAAAAAGACAAAAAUUAGACAUGCAUGAGUUUCUACAGGGGAAAAAGAAGCUUUGUGAAGAAAAACACACAAAUUCACAAAAAGAAAUGCGUGGCUUAUGCAGCCUCCCUAAACCUGUACUUCAUUAAAAACAAAAACAAAUUGUGUAAUUCUCAAAGCUGUGGAGCCAAGACAGCGAGCUUGGUGCUCCUGUGCCAUCCACACACAAUCACAUUAGGUCAUUUUGAUGCAGCAUUUGCAAAAUUUGUAAAAACGGUCCUAUCCACAAAGUUCAGUGUUAUUUAUAUAGAAAAUAACACUAAUAAAAGGUUUCAUGUACAGACAUUGUAUGGAGUUUCCUUUGCUUUGGCCUUCUGCUUUAAAUCAUGCAUCCUUUUUACAGACUGCAAAAUCAAAUCCCUCAUAACAGUUUUUGUUGGUGCGCAAACUGUUUUAAAAAUGUCCGUUGUGUCCUAAGCACAGAGACAACAUUCCUACUUACAGUGGGGCCAGAAUGCACAGGCGCUAGAAACAAAAUAAACGCAGUGCACAAACAAAUAGUUUGUGAAAGACAGACCUCCCUUAUCGCUUAACCAACAUUUACACUUUCCCACAUCAACAAUGGCAAUUAGACGGCCAUUGGUGCUAUAUCUUUAGUGAAUUGGACCUUGAGAAGGAGAAGAAAACGUUUGCUAGUGAUGUGCAAUUCAGGGAGCUGUCAGUAUCCACUAUCGCUUCUUUGUGAGAACCCGCUGUUGCUAUUUGAAGCGCCACCUGCUGAACACCCAUUGUUGCUCUUAACUGCAGGCAUUUACAGCUUUGAGUCUCACCACUGACUCAUAUUCCAACUUCUUUUCAAGAUCAGUCGGCCCGUUCUACCUGUCACUCAUCCCAAGCUAAAAGCCUUCCUCUCCCCCUUGUGUUUCCUCUGCUCCCCCUCCCAACAUCUGCAAUGACGGGGCCACUGCAGUCAGUGGGAAAACACACCCAGCAGCGGAUUUUCAAUUGAAUUGUCAGAAGCUGGCUUUUUUAAUAAAUCCUGCCCAAUAAAAGGCCAGACAACCUUUUGCGAAGUGGCUCCACCCAUGGCGCUCAGCUCGGGUGCUCUGCGGCGAACCUUGUCUGUCAGAACCACCAUUGCAGAGAUAAAAAAGGCACCUGGCAGCUCUUAAUGGGACUCACAAAAUAAAUAGAACCAACCAGAUAUCGUAAUUAUUUUGCAAGCAUAAUUCAGUGCACAUCAUUGUAAUAAUAACUAUGUAAGAAAAACAAUUUGUUUACCAAUAUAUAUUUACCUUGAAGACGUACAACGAAUAACAAUAAUACAUACAAAGAUCAAUACAAUAAUUGUGAGAAAUCUUCAAGUACAAGUUAAAUGCUACAAUUUGUUAGUCUUUUAGUCGAGGUAGAGUCUGAAGAGGUGUGUCUUAAGUUUGCGGUGGAAGAUGUGAAGGCUCUCUGCGGUCCUGGUGUCUUCAGAGAGCUCGUUCCACCAUUUCGGAGCAACAGCAAAGAGUCGAGAUCUAGUCGAGGGUUUUGCUCUCAGUGAGGGAGGAACGAGCACGGUCACACUAUACUGGGUAAAGCUGUGACCGAAAACUCGUAUUAUUCUUUGUUCCUUUUCUCUACCUGCAGCUGGCCAGCUGAGUGAGCACAGUGCUCUGACAGUCUGAUCAGUAUCGGCAUGGUGAUCAGCACGCCGAUCGUCUGCCCGGGGCGGCUCAAUGGCGAGGCAGAGACUGAGGGGAGGCAAGAGGGCAGCGUCAGCCAGGUGGAGCUCCAGCAGGAGGUUGGCAAGGCGUGACUGGAGGGCACAUGAGGAUCAGGGUGUGAGUUGGCUCGGUUCCGUUCCCCGGUUCGUAGUUAAAUCACUGCUGUGACUAGCCAUGCUGCAAAAUGCCUUUAAUAUUACACUACAGGUCGCUUUUUAUCCAAAGCGACUUACAUUGCAUUUUUAACCCGUGGCUUUUUACAUUUUGCAGAGGGAGCAAUUAGGGAUUAGAUGUCUUGCUCUGGGACACUUCAACAUGGGACAUGGAACAGCCAGGGCUCGAACUGCCAACCUUGCGGUUCCCGACGCACCCUCUCUACCCCUGCAGCACCGUCGACCUAUGGGCUGACUUUCGGAAAUAGAGAAAUGACAAUGUCACUCAGUGCGAAUCAUUUCAUCACUACAGAUAAGAAAGAAAGCGGAUGAUUGCUAAAUUACAGCGCUACGACCUGCAGACUCCAGGGCGCCACGUCCUCUUCCUUUUACAUGCAAUCUCCCUUCACUUGUUGCCAUCUGAAUGUGUGGCAGGGGGCAAUGACUCUUCUCUCCGGAUUUAUUCCCUCACUAACCAUUUCCAGGUCCUUUUGGGUUAUGGUUAGGGUCAUUUAGUAAAUGGUCUAUUUAGGGUUGCACGGUCCAUAAAGAAAGCUUUGAUCAAGCUUACCUUGAUUAUAAGAAUAUACGAUAUGUUACAGUAUAUAUCAGAUCAUAGUGUAAACUAAAACUGAAGGCAUGUCACAGUUCAGCCCCACACCCUCCUCACGCUGUUCUUUAGUCACUCCCACCUUGUCAACGCCCUUCACCUGUUCACACACCUGCCUUUGUUCACUAAUCAAGUCCCUAUUUAGUCUCCUGCCUCACACACACACACACACACACACUUUGCCAGAUUGUUCUUCUGCUUCCAUGCCAAAGGUCAAAAGAUCCCUGGAGUCGUGAGAGUGCAUUUGGCUGUUACAGGGCAUCAACUUUGGUUGUAACAUACUCCUUAUUUGUAUUAUGAGGAUACACUUUUAACCUGCCUGCAGUAUCUGCAACAUAGCCGUAAAAUGUUAUUAGCUGAAACUACACACGGGCAGUCACACAGAUUUGGGAAUCUUGUGAGAGCCAUUUGAUUGGCUGUGAAAUUGAGAAAGUUUGUUGAGCACCAGUGCUGUGCAAACUCCACCCUCAUCGUAUCAUUUUAUUAAAACACUCAAUCUCUCCAGACCCUUUGGGAACAUUUCUCUACUAAAUCACAUUAAACAUAAUAAAGACUUACACAGCAUCGACAUAUUCAACUCAAUGAAGACAGAUAAUCACUUGCAAAAAUAUUAUGCACGAAUGCAGCUAUUACUUCUUAUCUUGAUAUAAGAUCAAUGAAUCUAAAAAAAAAAGGUGUGUUCCUUCAUGCAUGUGCAGAGAUGUACCACCAAUAAUAAAGUUGCAAGUCUACAGAAUUAGACCUUAGCCCUCAGAAAUGAUGAUGCAAUGAUCUUCCCAUUCACGCAGCUGCAGAAGCUCCCGGCAAGUCUUCCUAAAUAAUUUCACUCGGGCAGCAGGAAGUGACAUUACUUCAUAUCGACAUGUAUUUCUCUUAUCUUUACGGUGCAGUCUGGAGAUAAGAACUGAUUAUCCAUGCUGGCGCUGUGUAUUCACGCUGCAUGUGCCGCAUACAAUUAUGCAAAUAAAUAGAAAGGCGUAUAGCCCUGCGCGAGCCAAAGAGCCCCUUCCUCCCCGCCCAUGUUCUCCACUCUUUGCUGUGGAGAAACUCCCACCGUUUCGCAACGUGGCUUAGACAUGCUCCUGCAGCAGGCACGCAUUUGUAAUACGAGACAUGCAGAGAAAAAAAAAGGCACGCCGGGGGAAACUGUUCAAAAGUUGGAACAGGGCAAAAUGGCUCCUUUCUAACUGUGCUGUGUAUGUUCUAUUGAUGUAUUCAUCAACAUAUAGAGUGGUCGGGCGAGCCCCUCAGCUGGCUGAUCACAGACUGCCUCCACUGUGGUCAAGUAUCAACACAGUUAAGGGCCUUUCGGCGUGUAGGUGCUGUAAUUAUACAAUGCAAGUGGUGUGUGUGCACAAGCACUCUCGUUCGCAACACUUUGUCCAGUUUGCCCCUAUUGAAGACGUCCAAGGCAUCCCUACUUGACGUAAUCCUUAAUAACUCAGAAACAUCAUGGCUUGUGUGUCUAUAUUAAUGGCAGGCUUCACUGCAGACUCUUGUUGUUACCUCCAUAACUGUAUAACUGUGGAGCAUGUGAGUAUUCAGCAAAGGUUUCUUUACCUAAAACAGAUAAAUCCUGCAUGAAUAAUUCAUUUGAACGGGGCGGGGGUUACAUCACAGCCACUGUCAAUGACAAUCAGAUGACGCUGAUAAGUUCAUUUAUAUGGUUCCCGCAACACAAGGGCAAAGAGGAUAAUCAUACUUUUAGAUGAGCCGGGACAACACGUAAUAUAAUGAGUGUGACGUGGAAUCCAUUCAGUACAAAAAUGCUCUUUCUGCUGCAUCAAGACAUCUAAGGCGGAUAAGAUCACUAUCGGAUGGCUUUGGCUUGUUCUACAUUAGCUGUGCACAGCUAUUAUUGGAACCAAUUGAAUUAAGAGGCGGAUUUCUGAAGCAUUACCGUGGCGGUUAUCACAGACGGCUCGUAAUAAGGGGAUCCAGAGUUUGGGGAUGAUGAAGGGGGUAGAAGUAGGACACCACGGCAAUUUUGACCCACAAAAUCUCGAUGGAUUUGCGAGGACAUCUGCCACACACAUUGGCCAUCAACCCAAUGUAUUAUAUAUGUUUUUUUGUAUCUGAUAAAGACAAGCCAAGAAGAAAGUCAGCGUAAUGGAAAUAGCCCAAUCAUUUAUAGUCAUCUUUGGUGAAGAAAAGUGUGAGGUUAGGGUUGACACAAGCCUCCAGUUCACAGACGAAAGGUUCUACCACCAAAUGACAAGAAUCAUCAUGUAAGCGGAGAAAACAGAUUUUCAAAAAGCAAUGAUGGUUUUAAAAACAGUUUUUGUCGUCCAUUCUUUGAACUCUUACUUUGGCUCGAUACAGUUCACUGAGGAAAUACAUGCAAUCUAGAAAACAACCUUUUUAUUUGACACGUUUGCAGCUUGACAUAUUUCAAACGUAAAUUCAGGGAACACAAACAAAUGGCGAAAUGAUAUCCGUGAAAACAGAACGGAGUUGAAAUAUGAAAGUUUUCCGGGGCUGCUGAUUACUAAUGAAGCAACUGCUGCUGUUGCCAUUCUGGGGGAAUAUGGAGCUGCUUUCUCAAUGACUUUGACUUUGGGGCUUUUUCCCUCAGUUUAAUCCGUACAAAAAUUAUAGUCAUGAACAAGCUUGUAUCCAAAUAGGCUCCUCACACAGGCCUACAAGCUACAAAAAAAUCCAAUGGAAAAGAACGCUAAAACAAGCAAACCAAACAAUAAAUGAAUGCAUGAAAUAUUGCCCUGACCGAGCUGUCUCCCGCUGCUCCUGGAGUCCAACCAGAGCUGCUCUCUGAAAGCAUUCUCUUAUUUAUUUGUGUUGCUUUUUUUUCUUCAUUGCUUCAUACUGACUCAAGCCCUUUUUCUCUCUUACCCUCUAUAAACUCGCACAAACACCCAAUUCACCUCAACGCUUAGUACAAUAAAUACUUUUUAUCUCUUGUUGUUGUUGGUGUUUCUUCUGUUGUUACUUGCUCCUUUUGUUGCGGAUUGUUGAGCCAAAUGCUCCCACUUGUCUCGUUGGUUACGUUCUUAUUGAAGCAUGUCAUUUCUAUUGGACUGUUUUAUUUUCAUGUUACUUGCUUGUCUUGGACUGUAAAGAAACUCAACCAAAAGAAUGAUGAAGGCUCGCCUCGGACCUCAGUCCACGCCAAACCAGGCGGAAACAUUGGUCCGGAAAAGUGUCCUUCACCUGCUUGGACCUGGACGACUACUCUGGUGGCAAAAUAAUCCAAUUGUACAAAAUGCUUUAGAUUGGUUACAUAAGUUAAGAUUUUAAACAUGGUUUUAUGGUUUUAAUCUCUAGUUUCCAGACUUCUUUAAUAAAGCAAAUACUAUUGUUUGUUUAAUAAAUGAUGGUCCAUUUAGAGUAGAAUGUGCUCAGGGGCGGGGCUACCUUUUGAUUGACGCGUUGCCAUCACGGUGUCGUCUGGUCUGAUUGUUGUUUUGUGUGUUUAUGAUUGGUCAUGAAUGUUAGUUUUUAA